rnacentral:rRNA from 1 species
UAGAGGAAGCUUGCUUCCUUGAGACCGGCGCACGGGUGCGUAACGCGUAUGCAAUCUACCUUUUACAGAGGGAUAGCCCAGAGAAAUUUGGAUUAAUACCUCAUAGUAUAAUGACUCGGCAUCGAGAUAUUAUUAAAGUCACAACGGUAAAAGAUGAGCAUGCGUCCCAUUAGCUAGUUGGUGUGGUAACGGCACACCAAGGCAACGAUGGGUAGGGGUCCUGAGAGGGAGAUCCCCCACACUGGUACUGAGACACGGACCAGACUCCUACGGGAGGCAGCAGUGAGGAAUAUUGGUCAAUGGGCGCAAGCCUGAACCAGCCAUGCCGCGUGCAGGAUGACGGUCCUAUGGAUUGUAAACUGCUUUUGUACAGGAAGAAACACUCCCUCGUGAGGGAGCUUGACGGUACUGUAAGAAUAAGGAUCGGCUAACUCCGUGCCAGCAGCCGCGGUAAUACGGAGGAUCCAAGCGUUAUCCGGAAUCAUUGGGUUUAAAGGGUCCGUAGGCGGGUUUAUAAGUCAGUGGUGAAAGCCCAUCGCUCAACGAUGGAACGGCCAUUGAUACUGUAGAUCUUGAAUUAUUAGGAAGUAACUAGAAUAUGUAGUGUAGCGGUGAAAUGCUUAGAGAUUACAUGGAAUACCGAUUGCGAAGGCAGGUUACUACUAAUGGAUUGACGCUGAUGGACGAAAGCGUGGGUAGC